GGGCUGGUAGCUCAGCGUUAGAGCACAUGCUUGAUAAGCGUGCGGUCGGACGGUUCAAAUCCUCCCCGGCCCACCA
rnacentral:tRNA from 1 species